AAUAGAUACCCUGGUAGUCCACGCCGUAAACGAUGGAUGCUAGCUGUUAUGAGUAUCGACCCUUGUAGUAGCGAAGCUAACGCGUUAAGCAUCCCGCCUGUGGAGUACGAGCGCAAGCUUAAAACAUAAAGGAAUUGACGGGGACCCGCACAAGCGGUGGAGCGUGUUGUUUAAUUCGAUGAUAAGCGAAGAACCUUACCAAGGCUUGACAUCCCUGGAAGGUCUCCGAAAGGAGACUGUGCCUUCGGGAAUCAGGUGACAGGUGAUGCAUGGCCGUCGUCAGCUCGUGUCGUGAGAUGUUUGGUUAAGUCCAUCAACGAGUGCAACCCUUAUAAAUAGUUGAAUUUUUCUAUUUAGACUGCCUCGGUAACGGGGAGGAAGGAGGGGAUGACGUCAGGUCAGUAUUCCCUUAUGCCUUGGGCUACAAACACGCUACAAUGGCCGGUACAAAGGGCAGCCAACCCGCGAGGGGGAGCAAAUCCCAUCAAAACCGGUCCCAGUUCGGAUAGCAGGCUGAAACUCGCCUGCUUGAAGUCGGAAUCGCGU
rnacentral:rRNA from 1 species